AACGAACGCUGGCGGCAUGCCUAAUACAUGCAAGUCGAACGCCCCGCAAGGGGAGUGGCAGACGGGUGAGUAACACGUGGGAACCUUCCCUAUAGUACGGAAUAGCCCAGGGAAACUUGGAGUAAUACCGUAUACGCCCGAGAGGGGAAAGAUUUAUCGCCAUAGGAUGGGCCCGCGUAGGAUUAGCUAGUUGGUGAGGUAAUGGCUCACCAAGGCGACGAUCCUUAGCUGGUCUGAGAGGACGACCAGCCACACUGGGACUGAGACACGGCCCAGACUCCUACGGGAGGCAGCAGUGGGGAAUAUUGGACAAUGGGCGCAAGCCUGAUCCAGCCAUGCCGCGUGAGUGAUGAAGGCCUUAGGGUUGUAAAGCUCUUUUGCCGGGGACGAUAAUGACGGUACCCGGAGAAUAAGUCCCGGCUAACUUCGUGCCAGCCGCCGCCGUAAAAC
rnacentral:rRNA from 1 species